CCCUUAGACGUUCUGGGCCGCACGCGCGCUACACUGACUAGUCCAACGAGUGUUUGUACCUUUGCUGAUAGGCAUGGGCAAUCUCUGAACGCUAGUCGUGAUAGGGAUCGAUUUUUGGAAUUAUUAAUCGUCAACGAGGAAUUCCUAGUAAACGCGAGUCAUCAGCUCGCAUUGAUUACGUCCCUGCCCUUUGUACACACCGCCCGUCGCACCUACCGAUUGAAUGGUCCGGUGAAGCCUCCGGAUUGGACGUGCUGACCCUGUCAGCCGGCCGAGAAGUUGGCUAAAUCUUACCAUUUAGAGGAAGGUGAANUCGUANCA
rnacentral:rRNA from 1 species